AACGGUCUAUACCUGCGGUACCUGCGGAGGGAUCAUCAAAAAAGAGAAGGGGAGGGUGUGAAAGUUUUCUUUCACCCCUCUCUCUCUUUUUUAUUAAUUUUUUCUUUCUUUCUCCCUUUUUAUUAUAUACUCCUUCCUAGGAGUUGUAAUUAGAGGAAAAGGGGGUGAAGAAAGAAACUUGUCGACUUCUUGUUGUCCCCCUUUUUUUUAGGAGAGUUUCUUUUAAAAAAGGGGGUAAAC
rnacentral:misc_RNA from 1 species